rnacentral:rRNA from 1 species
UGAGGAAUAUUGCGCAAUGGAGGCAACUCUGACGCAGCCAUGCCGCGUGCAGGAAGAAGGCGCUACGCGUUGUAAACUGCUUUUAACCGGGAAGAAACCCCAGGACGUGUCCUGGGUUGACGGUACCGGAGGAAUAAGCACCGGCUAACUUCGUGCCAGCAGCCGCGGUAAUACGAAGGGUGCAAGCGUUAUCCGGAUUCAUUGGGUUUAAAGGGUGCGUAGGUGGGGCGAUAAGUCAGUGGUGAAAUCCUGCGGCUCAACCGUAGAAUUGCCAUUGAUACUGUCGCUCUUGAGUACGCUUGACGUGGGCGGAAUGUGCCGUGUAGCGGUGAAAUGCUUAGAUAUGGCACAGAACACCGAUAGUGAAGACAGCUCACGAAGGCGAAACUGACACUGAGGCACGAAAGCGUGGGGAUCGAACAGG